GCCGAAAUAGCUCUGUUGGGUGAGCAUUUGCUUGAAGAUCUAAAGGUUCCUGGUUCAAUCCUGGGUUUUGGCA